rnacentral:rRNA from 1 species
AGCAGCCGCGGUAAUUCCAGCUCCAAUAGCGUAUAUUAAAGUUGUUGCAGUUAAAAAGCUCGUAGUUGAAUUUCGGGGUUAGUAGGCUGGUCGUGCCACUGGUACGUACUGGUCUCACUGACUCCUCCUUCCUGAUGAACUGUAAUGCCAUUAAUUUGGUGUUGCAGGGAACUGGACUGUUACUUUGAAAAAUUGAGUGUUUAAAGCAAGCUAACGCUUGAAUACAUUAGCAUGGAAUAAUGAAAUAGGACGUUCGAUCCUAUUUUGUUGGUUUCUAGGAUUGACGUAAUGAUUAAUAGGGAUAGUUGGGGCAUUAGUAUUCAAUUGUCAGAGGUGAAAUUC